CCUCCACCACCCUCCCUUCCCCACGCUCCGCAAGGGUUCGGCGCCGCUCGGCUCCUUUAAGACCCAUUUGAGCCCCCCACCCCGGCCCCCACCCGACCCCCCUGGACGCGCCGAGCAGAGUGAGAGCCGGAGUCCACGCUGUGAACGAGCUCACCCGCCCCUGGAAGUCUGCGCGUCUCUUUUCCCGGGGAAGAGAUUGGGGGCGUCGUGGGCACUGGUCUCCCCGCGGCCCCUUCGCUUGUCCAGUCCGGACACCCAACAGGCCGGGCUCAGCUGAGACGAUUUUGACUCCAUCCCCAACUGAAAAAGCUCCGGACCCGAAUUCCUGGACGAUCGAAUCUCCUGGAAGUCUCUCUCCCGUUCCCUACCCCAAAUAAAAAUUAAAAUAAAAACGAAAAAAAAACCCAAGCUAA